GAUGAACGCUGGCGGCGUGCUUAACACAUGCAAGUCGAACGGAAAGGCCCAAGCUUGCUUGGGUACUCGAGUGGCGAACGGGUGAGUAAAACGUGGGUGAUCUGCCCUUCACUUCGGGAUAUGCCUGGGAAAAUGGGUCUAAUACCGGAGAGGACCACAUUUUGGGUGGUGUGGUGGAAAGUAUUUCGGUGUGGGGUGAGCUUGCGGCCUAUCAGCUUGUUGGUGGGGUAAUGGGCUACCAAGGCGGCGACGGGGAGCCGGCCUGUGAGGGUGUACGGCCACAGUGAGACUGAGAGACGGCCCAGACACCGACGGGAGGCAGCAGGGGGGAAGAUUGCACAAUGGGCGCAAGCCGGAUGCUGCGACGCCGCGGGGGGGAUGACGGCCUUCGGGUUGUAAACUACUUUCGCUAGGGACGAAGCGUUACGUGACGGUACCUGGAGAAGAAGCACCGGCUAACUACGUG
rnacentral:rRNA from 1 species